UGAUCACUCAGACUAAAAUGUAUAUGAUGAUGAUACUAUAUUUGAUCGUAAUGUGACCGAAGGUAUGGAAAUGGACAUGCAUUGCGUGCUAUAAGAUGAAGAAGCCCCGGAACACAUGGUUCUUCAUAUGCAUCUUCUAAAGUGCUUAACUUUUGCAGUGGUUCGGACUUCAACGAUUGGAACUACGAUGUAUGUGAUGAUUGUAGGGAUGAUUUCCAGCAGACUCCAAGUUCAAAAUCGGGCUCAGUUUACCAAUUUCAUCGACACCACCAAGGUUGAGACAACUCCAAAACCACCACCAAAACCGCUCCAUUUUCGGUUGCUAUAGGUUGGGAAGAUGAAGUCCAAUGAUAUGCCCACUAAGGAUUAACCACAAAGGUCACAGUGAAGUGAUGAGAGAAACCAAGAAGAAAGUCUCACAAAGAGAGAAAUUGGGCACACACUUAUGGAGGCCGAGAGAGAGAUGAGAAUCCAAAAUAGGUAAGUUAGGUUAGGGUUAAGUUGUGAGUUAGGUUAGGGUUAAGUUGCCAAACAAGGCUCGACUCAAUAUUAAUGGGCUUCAAAUUAAUAAUAUACCUUCCAAGGAAAUGGGGCGAACCGUGAGCGACACUAUUUACAAUAGGUUGCUUCGAACAGUCCAUACGAAUGUGGAUUAUGUUGUCUCGAUAAUUGUGUCGAUGUACUAGUCAAUCAUAUGGCCAAGGCCGAUUGAUAAUAAAAUCGAGGUUACAUCAUAGCUCGGGGAGGUCGUUUGACAACAAAUUGCUUAACAUCAAAGGACCUACAAAAGAAAAUUGUCUCCUAUUAGUGACACCUCUAAUUGAAAACCAAUAAAAUUGGAAAUUAUUUACCUGUACCAAUGUUUAGAAGUUCCUUGCAACUUCUAAACUUUACCAGUGACAGUACCUUCGUCCCCAUAUCAGAUGGGUUCUAGUGGGUGUGGACUUUCUCAAGUCUUACCACCUCUUGAGAUACUAUAUCUCUAAUGAAAUGGAGUCUAACAUCAAUGUGUUUAGUGCGCUCGUGAAAAAUAGGGUUCUUGCAUAAAUGUAAAGAUGACUGACUAUCAGAAUACACUACUACAUAAUCAUUCAAGACACAUAGUUCAUGAAGUAGACCUCUAAGCCAUAGAGCUUCUUUAAUAGCUUCAGUGGUAGCAAUAUAUUCUAAUUCUGUAGUGGAUAGUGCAACAAUAUGUUGUAACUAUGAUUUUCAACUAACACAUAAAUUAGAUAAGGUAAACACGUAAGAUGAAGUAGAUUUCCUACCAUCCCUAUCUCCCGCGUAGUCUGCAUCUACAAAACCCUUUAAUCUUAUGCCUUCUUUAUUAGUACUAAACUUUAAACCUACAUUACUUGUACCCUUCAAGUACUUUAACAGGCACUUUAGCGCUUCCCAAUGUUCAGGGCCCGGAUUAGCUAUAUAUCUACUGAGAGUACUAACAGUAAAACCUAAAUCAGGUCUAGUGCAAACCAUCAAAUAUAUUAUGGAACCAAUCACAUUAGAGUAAGGCACUCUACUCAUGUAUUCAACUUCACGCUCAUUGCAAGGAGAUUGUUCAUUCGAUAAAACAAAUGAAUAGUAAGAGGCAAUGUGACAGAUUUGCAAUCACUCAUAUUGAAUUUCUUCAAUACUUUGGAUAUGUAUGGAGACUGAUGCAAAAACAAAUCAGAAUUUGACCUAUCUCUUUCGAUUUCAAUACCUAAGAUUCUUUUAGCCUUACCUAGGUCUUUCAUGUCAAAUUCACCACUUAAUUUUGCUUUUAUGUUAUUUAUCCACAUAGAGGAUGAUCUAAUCAAAAGCAUGUCAUCCACAUAGAGCAACAAAAAUAGAUAAUUAUCAUUAGUCUCAUUGUGUUGAAAAUACAGGCAGUGAUCAAAUUUACUUCUUUGGAACCCUAUAGUGAGUACAAAGGAAUCAAACCUCUUGUAUCACUGUCUAGGAGAUUGUUUUAACCCAUACAAAGAUCUUCUCAGAAAACACACAUAGUCAGGUUUUGACUUAUCCUUAAAACCUUUUGGUUGAUUCAUGAAAAUUUGUUUAUCAAGCUCACCAUGUAAGAAAGCAGUUUUUACGUCAAGUUGUUCAAGUUCCCAGUCAAAAUGUGCAACCAAUGCGAGCAUGACCCUAAUAGUGGUGUACUUAACAACUGGUGAGAAAAUUUCAUUAUAAUCAGCGCCCUCCUUCUGUGUUUAGCCUUUAGCCACUAACCUAGCUUUAAACCUUAGGGGUUUCGAGCUGCUAGUUCCUUCCUUAACCUUAAAAACCCAUUUGCAAUCAACAAUUGAUUUGUUCUUAGGCCUCGGUACUAGCUCCCAAGUAUGAUUCUUUUCUAGAGAACUCAUCUUUUCUUUCAUUACCUUACGCCAUUCAUUAGAUUGAUCACUGCCUAUUGUUUCUUUAAAGGUCUUUGGCUCUUUAUCAGCUAGUUCUUCAUAACUAGCUUGGGUGAAAGCUAAUUCAGAUUCAAAACUGAACCUUCUUGGUUCUCUCGUCUUUCUCCUCUUUCUAUCCCUAACUAAGUUAUAGUUAGCUAAAGAAUUUUCUUCCUUAUAGUGCUCUUCUACCACUAUUUCGUUACUAUUCUCUACCUCGGGUUCCUGAGUUUGAGUCUCCAUCUCAUUUGAAAUAGUAGGGGCAAGUGGACUGAGUUUUCCUAACUCCACCUUAAACUGGUUUCUCUCUUUACCUGAUUCUACUUCACUCUGAGGUUCAGUUUUCCCUUUAAUACACGGUAUCUCAUUUUCGUUAAACGUGACAUCUCUACUUAUGAUGAUUUUAACCCCUUUUUGACUUCUAUUCCAUAACCUAUAACCCUCAACACCCUCGGGGUAUCCUAGGAAGACACACUUCCUAGCUCUAGGUUUCAGCUUACCCUCACUUUGAGGAGAAAAAGCUGUACAGCCAAAAGUUCUAAGUAUCGAGCAAUCACCCAGUUUACCCAACCAUCUCUCAUGCGGAGUGUCACCAUUCAAUGCAGCAGAAGGAGUCAGAUUAAUCAAAUAACAAGCGAUCAUAACAAUCUCACCCCAAAAUGACUUGGGAACACAAGAACUAAUUAUCAUGCAACGUACUUUAUCAAGUAUGGUCAUAUUCAUCCUUUCUGUUGCCCCAUUUUGCUGAGGGGUGUAGGGAAUGGUUUUAUGUCUAGUUAUGCCGCUUUCUUUACACAUACUAUCAAAUUCUUUAUUGCAGAAUUCUAGGCCGUUAUCUGUCCUUAAAAAUUUGAUUUUCUUGCCAGUUUGGUUUUCCACUUGUCUCUUCCAAUUAUUAAAACUAUUGAAGGUCUCAGAUUUAUCCUUCAAAAGAUAGACUCACACUUUCCUAGUAUAGUCAUCAAUAAUAGACAGGAAAUACCUAUUUCCACCCGAUGUGGGAUUACUAGCAGGAUCCCAUAGAUCAUAGUGUACAUAUUCGAGCAUGCCUUUAGCUCUAUUAACACUCGUGGAGAAAGAAGUUUUAUGAUGCUUACCAAGCACACAAUGAUCACAAAAUGGCAAAUCUGAAACACAGUCAUUACCAAAAGCACCAUUUUCAUUAAGUAGCUUAAGUCCCUUGACCCCUACGUGAGCAAGUCUAUUAUGCUAUGUGUGUGUGAUCAAUCUUCACAGAGGAGAUAGAGGAAUUCACACCUCUAAUCACUUCCCCAGUAGUAAUAUAUAUAUCGUUUUUCUUAAUUCCCUUAAUGAAAAUUAAAGCACCCUUGAUCAUUUUUAGCAUACCAUUUUCAAUUUUACCAGUAAAGUCAUCCUUCUCAAGUCUCCCCACUGAAAUUAGAUUCCUAGACAACUCAGGAAUAUAUCUAACAUCCUUUAACGUAUACACAAAACCUGUGUCAAAGUUUACAUUUAUGUCACCAAUUCCAGCAAUAGUAUAGGCAAAGUUAUCACACAGUACAACAUACCCAACAUUAGAUUCAUGCAACUUAUAAAACCAAUUCUUUUCAGACGUCACAUGAAAAGAUGUACUAGAAUCAAGUAUCCACUCAUGUAUGCGAGAAUUAGCAGUUAGAUUUAAUUCAGCAGUGUAUGCAACUAGACUUGUAAUCAUAUAGACCUCACCACCAUUUAUAUCGGAAGUAGAUGCUAACACAUUUACCUCAUCUCUCUCCUUAACCUUUAGCUUACCCUUCUCCUUAUGACAAUCUUUUAUAAAAUGCCUUGUGUUUCCACAACCAUAGCAUUUUCUUGCCUUAGUCCUAGAUUUUGAUCUAGACCUUCCUUUGCUCUUCUUUUUCCAUCCAUUACCACUUGACUCGCCACUAGUUUGAUAUCCCUCAUGACUAUUUUGCCUAAAUUGAGUUCUACCCCGCAUUAUAUGUACCUCACCAUUCAUCUUAUCAUGUUUUCAGCCCUAAUUUCCAUUUCUUUACUUCUAAGGGAAUUUAUGACAAUUUUAGGUGUUAACGUGUCUCUACCAUACUUAAUGUCAUUCUUAACUUCCUUAUAGGAAUCAGGAAUUGCAUUGAGUAAAAUUAUAACCUUAUAAAUUUCGGACACAGUCUCAUCAUAAUUAACUAUAUCUUGCACCAAUUUGUUAAACACGUCUAGAUCGUCAUCAAGAUCCUUUGAAGAAUCCAUUUUGAAACUAAAAAAACGUUCAAGCAGGUAAAGUUUAUUCAGUGUAGACUUAAGCAAAUACAAGUCUUCUAAUUUCUUCCAAAGUUCUUGAGUAGUUUUCAGUUUAGCCACCUUUCUUAAAAUGGCGUUGGACAAGUGUAAAAUAAUUGAGGUAUAAGCAAACUUAUCAGCUUCUUCUCUUUGUUCUUGUGAAAAAUCAGUUGAAAAAUUGUCUUCAAUGACUUUUGAAACCUUUUGUUGGACUAAAAUACCCUUCAUUUUUUGUUGCCAAAUAGCAAAGUCACCAUUUCCAUUAAAAAUUCCCAAAUAAAAAUUGUGAGUUGUCAUCUUUACACAACAGUAAAAAAAUGCACAAACCACAAUCAGACCACACAAAGUAAUCCUAGGGUCACAGACAGUAUACACCAUUCUAGAUUUUCAGGGUUUCGUAAGACUCGCUGUCUUAGAUCAAGGGAAUGUUCGGGUAAGGUCACGGUAUUUCUAACGAAAUAAGUAAGCAGCGAAAACAACAAUGCAGGAAAAAAUACAUCUAGCAAAUAUAACUAGUCCCACAGUAAUUAGAUCACUAAGAAUUACAAAACUGAUUUUAACCAAAAACAAAUACUCAAUUAAAAGAUUAAUCAAGAGCACGUAACCCUAAUUCUAGCACAAGCAAUGGUUGCCAAGCAAUGACAACCCCCAACCUAUUGUCACCCUACAUGGUGAUGCGCUAAUGCUAAAAAAUUAACGGGUUAAGCUAAUUUAUCAGAGCGGACGUGUCUGAGUCCGUAUAAUCGAGAGAGAUGCGAAUCUACUGCUUUAGGGCCGCAAUCUUGGCCUAAAGUAAUUCAGUAGAUAUAUGCAGUUUUAACCGUCGAUCCAACGGGGGGAAAAUUGUCCAACCUCUUUGUGUAACCUGAAACAGAAAAUAAACAGUGUCAGUGCGUUCAGGGGAUUGAAAUGAGCAAACUGCCCGAAGGAAGUUCGCCCGGAAUCGUCGUCGUCGGUUGCUGCCGUCGCCACGCGCCACGCACGAAGGGGCGCCUCAGCCUGCUGGUUCCGGAUAUGGGAUCGGUUUCGCUGGAAAGUCACUGGUUUGGCUGGAAAAUGCGAUUGCAGGUUCGGCUUCCUAUGAAAAUCGCGACUCCACCACCGAUUUUGGUGAUUUUCUGGCCAUAGAAGGUUACUCCGGCUCUGAUACCAUAUGUAGGGAUGAUUUCCAGCAAACAAGUUCAAAAUCGGGCUCAGUUUACCAAUUUCAUCGACACCACCAAGGUUGAGACAACUCCAAAACCACCACCAAAACCACUCCAUUUCCGGUUGCUAUAGGUUGGGACGAUGAAGUCCAAUGAUAUCAUGCCCACUGAGGAUUAACCACAAAGGUCACAGUGAAGUGAUGAGAGAAACCAAGAAGAAAGUCUUACAAAGAGAGACAUUGGGCACACACUUAUGGAGGCCGAGAGAGAGACGGGAAUAUAAGCCAAGUAAAAAUCCAAAAUAGGUAAGUUAGGUUAGGGUUAAGUUGUGGACCAAACAAGGCUCGACUCAAUAUUAAUGGGCUUCAAAUUAAUAAUAUAGCCUUCCAAGGAAAUGGGGCGAACCGUGAGCAACACUAUUUACAAUAGGUUGCUUCGAACGGUCCAUACGAAUGUGAAUUGUGUUGUCUCAAUAAUUGUGUCGAUGUACUAGUCAAUCAUAUGGACAAGGCCGAUUGAUAAUAAAACUGAGAUUACAUCAUAGCCCAGGGAGGUCGUUUGACAACAAAUUGCCUAACAACGAUCAUAUUAUAUUUGAUCGUAAUAUGAUCGAAGGUAUCAAAAUAGAUAUGAAUUGCGUGCUACAGGCAUGAUGGUUACUACUUGGAGGACAUUAGAGCCUAUCCUCAAUGGAAGACAAAACAUUUUAAAACUACUAUAAGAAAGGAUUUGGGAGUGCAUAUUACUAAGGUAGUUGCUUGGAAUACUAGAAAAUAUGUCAAAGUUUUAAUAGAAGGGAAUGAUGCAUAACAAUUUGCGAUUUAAGGGUGUUGUGCUAAGGAAUUGAGGAGAACAAAUCCUGGUUCAACUAUGAUAAAUGUGUUCAGGGAUAUUUAUGUUUGCAUAGAGGCAUUUAAGAGUGAUUUUCUACAGGGUUAGAUAUUUUCUAAAAGAGAAUAUGACAAUAGUUGUAUAUACCCAGUUAUAUAUGCAAUCAUUGAGGAAGAGAAAACUAGUUCGUGGCUAUGGUUUUUGAUGAUGAUGUCUGAAAUUUCGA
rnacentral:lncRNA from 1 species